rnacentral:lncRNA from 10 species
GUUCAUCAAUCAUUGAUUGUUUUCAACUACCCACAAAGACAUCAGAACACUAUAUCUGUUAUUUGGCGCAUGAGUGGGAAUAGGGGGCACCGCCUUAAGCCUUCUAAUUCGAGCAGAAUUAGGCCAACCAGGAACUCUGCUAGGAGAUGGUCAGAUUUAUAAUGUUAUUGUUACAACCCACGCAUUUGUAUUAAUCUUCUUUAUGGUCAUACCAAUCAUAAUUGGGGCUUUUGGUAACUGGCUAGUCCCUCUGAUAACUGGGGCACCUGACAUGGCAUUUCCCCGGAUAAAUAAUAUGAACUUCUGACUUCUCCUCCCCUCUUUCCUGCUUGCAUCCUCAAUGGUAGAAGCCAGUGCUGGAAAUGGCUGAACUGUUUAUCCCACUUUAGCAGGGAACUUAAUUCAUGCAGGAAACUCUGUAGGUAUAACCAUCUUCUCAUUCCACUUGGCAGGUGUUUCUUCUAUUUUAGGAGCCAUUAACUUUAUUACCACAAUUUAAUAUAAAACCCUCUUCCCAAUAUCAAACAUCCCUUUUUGUCUGAUCAGCCCUCAUUACAGCAGUCCUUCUCCUCCUUUCUCUCCCAGUUCUAGCCCCCGGCAUUACCAUACUAUUAACUGACCGUAACCUCAAUACUACUUUUUUUGACCCUGCUAGGGGAGGCAACCCUAUCUUGUAUCAACAUUUAUUCUGAUUCUUUGGUCACCCUGAAGUCUAUAUCCUUAUUCUACCAGGCUUCGGAAUAAUCUCCCAUAUCGCAACAUAUUAUUCUGAAAAAAAAAGGAACCAUUUGGGUAUAUGGGCAUAGUAUGAGCUAUAAUAUCAAUUGGCUUCCUAGGGUUUAUCGUAUGAGCUCACCAUAUAUUUACAGUAGGAACAGACGUAGACACACGGGCAUACUUCACUGCCACUACUAUAAUUAUUGCUAUCCCUACUAGCAUCAAGGUCUUUAGCUGAUAAGCUACAGUGCGUGGCGGUAACAUCAAAUGAUCUCCUGCAAUAUUCUGAGCCCUAGGAUUCAUUUUCCUAUUCACAGUAGGAGGUCUAACCAGCAUUAUACUAGCUAAUUCAUCACUAGACAUUAUCUUACAUGACACAUAUUAUGUUGUAGCCCAUUUCCACUACAUCCUAUCAAUAGGAAUGGUAUUUGCCAUGAUAGGGUGCUUUGUCCACUGAUUCCCCUUAUUUUCAGGUUAUACAAUUAAUCAGAUAGGCUAAAAUCCACUUCACCAUUAUAUUUAUAGGUGUUAAUUUAAUCUUUUCCCCACAGCACUUCCUCAGCCUAUCUGGUAUGCCCCAACAUUACUCUGAUUAUCCUGAUGUGCACACCAUAUGAAAUAUUAUCUCAUCAGUAGGCUCACUUAUCUCACUAGCAGCAGUUAUACUAAUAAUUUUUAAGAACUGGGAAGCCUUUGCUUCAAAAUGAAAAGUUCUAACAACUGAACAAUCAUCUACUAAUUUAGAGUGACUUUACGGCUGUCCACCACCUUACCACACAUUCGAAGAACCAACCUGCAUGAAAACCUAA